GCCUUCUUGGCUAAGGGGUAGAUCGUCUGUCUUGCAAACAGAAGGCGGCUGGUUAGAUCGCAGCAUGAGGCG
rnacentral:tRNA from 1 species